UACGUAGGGUGCAAGCGUUAAUCGGAAUUACUGGGCGUAAAGCGUGCGCAGGCGGUUUUGUAAGUCUGACGUGAAAUCCCCGGGCUCAACCUGGGAAUUGCGUUGGAGACUGCAAGGCUAGAAUCUGGCAGAGGGGGGUAGAAUUCCACGUGUAGCAGUGAAAUGCGUAGAGAUGUGGAGGAACACCGAUGGCGAAGGCAGCCCCCUGGGUCAAGAUUGACGCUCAUGCACGAAAGCGUGGGGGAGCAAACAGG
rnacentral:rRNA from 1 species